rnacentral:rRNA from 1 species
AUGACGAUGGCGACAGAGGAGGAGCACUUCAGGUCUAUGGUGGAUGAAGGUGUAGAUCGAGAGUUCGAGGAGAAGCUACCCCUCUUCCGUUCAGAGCUGACGAGGACCCUUGAAGAGAUGGAAUCUCCGACCCACGACGACGCCUUCGAGAAGCUGGGUUGGUCAGAGAGCCUCGAGGACAGCACCCUCGACGUCGUCAAGUUCCUGGCGGCGGACGGGGACGAGUGCAGGCGCGGCGCCGCCCUCUUCGCCGGCGAGCAGCCGCUGGCAGACGCCCUGCGUGGCCAGGCCGCGUGGUACGACGCCAGGCGCGCCGAGGCCGAGGAGAUCGCGUCCGGCGCGCGGCGCCUGCGGCACACGUGCCUCGGGACGGUGGCGACGGCGGAGACGGAGGACAUCGUCUGCCUGGGGGCGGUGGACUACAUCGAGCACGUGUUCAAGGAGAUGCCCCACGUCGCCUCGUCCCCGGCGGAGCAGAUGGCGGCGGCGAGGGCCCAGGCACAGGUCCAGGGCCCCGCGGCCACGCGCUUCGUGGAGGAGUUCGCCGAAAUUGCCGGGAGGCUCAGGCGAGGGGCGGCGGAUUUCGGGGGCGAGGAACAGGGGCUCGCCGAGGCGCUGACGGAGCGCGCGGCGAUGGUGGACGCGUUGUGCGCCGACAUGGAGGCGUUCGUGGACAAGAUGGAGUCCUCCGCCUACUGGAGGAUGUUGAAGCAUCUGAACUGA